GUGCUUGCUUUGGCAGCACAUAUAUUAAAAUUGGAACGAUGCAGAGAAGAUUAGCAUGGACUCUGUGCAAGGAUGAUACACAAAUUCAUGAAGCAUCCCAUAUUUUU